UACGGAGGGAGCAAGCGUUACUCUUCGUGAUUGGGUGUAAAGGGUAUGUCGGUGGUUAUUGGGAGCAAGAAUAUAAAUACUUGGGCGUAACCGAAGAAAUAUUUUUCAACCAAUUAACUUGAGUCUAGUAGGAGAAAGCGGUACAUUUAAUGUAGAGGUGAAAUUCGUUUGAAUUUAAAUGGACCACCAAUCGGCGAAGGCGGCUUUCUAUAAUAGGACUGACACUCAUAUACAAAAGCGUGGGGAGCGAACAGG
rnacentral:misc_RNA from 1 species